rnacentral:lncRNA from 1 species
AGAAGUCUUCCGCAGCUCUGCAGAAGCCUAGGGGGCUAGGCUAGAAGCAAGGGGGCGUUUCCAGAAUUUUCUCCUCCACAAAAGGUUGCACCAACUGGGAAUCCAUGAAGGAAUCUGAGAGAAGCAUGUUCUAGAAAUUUCUUCAGAGGAGAGGGAGAGCAAGCACCCACGAGCAGGAUGCCCUGGGGAUCUGAAGAUGUUUUUGUUACACAGGCUGUCACAGCCUGACUGACAGCUACACAUCACAACAAACAGUCCACGCUCCCACAGAGGUUGGUCUCCUCCUGCUGGAUUCAGAAGCAAAGCCAAGUGGGAAGACCUUUACUCUCCUGGUUUGUCAAGCUCUGUUCUGUGGACACAUUUCAGAGCUCUUCAGCUGGGCAGGAGCCAUUGUGCCGUGGCUGCUCAGCAUAAGAGGUUCCAGUAGGUUCUGUGGAGCAAGAGCCGCAAGCCCUAGUCACCUCCUGUGUCUGCCCCAGCCCAGGCCUGGCAAGGUGGCAGGAAAGGCACCAGACCUGGGGGAAGAGCAUGUUCAAAGGCUCUGAGAACAAGGCUGUGACCCAAGACUGACCCAGAGUGACAAUGACAUGAAGAUCAAGGUGCUGGAGGGCAGAGACUCUGCAGCUAACAGUAUGCAAAGCUCUUACAGAGACUCUGAGUUCAGAGUCCCAGCACUCGUGCUGGGCUGCUCACAACCGCCUGAGACUGGAGCUCUGGCCUUCACAUACCUGCCUCACAGACUGUAAAAAUAAAGUCAACUGAGGGCUAGAGAGAUGGCUCAGUGGUUAAGAGCACUGGCUACUCUUCCAGUGGUCCUGAGUUCAGUUCCCAGCAACCACGUGGUGGAUCACAACCACUUGUAAUGGGAUCUAAUGCCCUCUUCUUGUGUGUCUGAAGAGAGUGACACUUACAUAAAAUAAAUGAAUCUUUUUUUA